ensembl:lncRNA
GCAGUCUAGUUUUACAACAUCAUGUCUGUUUGAUAAGAGCCAUUUUUUCUUUGUUUUGUGUAAGAUGGUAUAAAAGACUAGACUACUUGUCAUCUCACAACAAAUGUGAAGCAGAUGGAUGGAAAAGACACUAUAAUGGACAUAAAGCGGCCCGGCCCAAGAGCAUGAUCGAUAUGUGCGAGUCCUCCAGUGAUGACGCUGAGAAGAGCUCUGUUUUGCAGACGCAUAGCCUGAGAGAGUUUGAGCAGGCUUGGCAGAAGUGUGGAGAUUUUGACAGGCUCAGUCAAGACCUGAUCAUUGUGGCCUGGCCCUCCGUGUACCUUUCAGCAAGUUGUUGCAAAAUUCUGAAGGAAACGGACAAACAAGAGCUGGUUUUGUCUUUCUAGAUUCUGUGCUUUUUGCAGCACUUCUUCACUUAGGUUCUCUUUAGAUAGAAAAUAGGUCAAAAUUUU